UGAUUACUGCAGUGUGCACAGGAUGC
rnacentral:piRNA from 1 species